AUAAUAAUAAUAAUAAUAACAAUAGCUGAUAAUGAUAUUAGAUAACAGUAAUGACUGGGGGAUUGUUCUCCAGAGCAUCCCAGUUUUCCUUCCUGUGUUUUCAAGCCUUUGUACAAACUUGCUAUGGCAGACUAGAAAGUUUUUUGAGUAUUCAUUAUCAUCAUCAUCAUCAUCGUUGUUGUAAGUCAUUAGUAAUCCAGUGCAGGAAAAGUGUUUCCCUGAAGCUUUCCUCCCCUGUGUCUGGUGCUGAGGUGCCCCAUCCCAGCCACUCACUUCAUGUGUGCCUGGUUCUCUGCCCCUGUGUCUGGUGCUGAGGUGCCCCAUCCCAGCCACUCACUUCAUGUGUGCCUGGUUCUCUGCCCCUGUGUCUGGUGCUGAGGUGCCCCAUCCCAGCCACUCACUUCAUGUGUGCCUGGUUCUCUGCCCCUGUGUCUGGUGCUGAGGUGCCCCAUCCCAGCCACUCACUUCAUGUGUGCCUGGUUCUCUGCCCCUGUGUCUGGUGCUGAGGUGCCCCAUCCCAGCCACUCACUUCAUGUGUGCCUGGUUCUCUGCCCCUGUGUCUGGUGUUGAGGUGCCCCAUCCCAGCCACUCACUUCAUCUCUGCCUGGUUCUCUGCCCCUGUGUCUGGUGCUGAGGUGCCCCAUCCCAGCCACUCACUUCAUCUGUGCCUGGUUCUCUGCCCCUGUGUCUGGUGCUGAGGUGCCCCAUCCCAGCCACUCACUUCAUCUGUGCCUGGUUCUCUGCCCCUGUGUCUGGUGUUGAGGUGCCCCAUCCCAGCCACUCACUUCAUCUCUUCCUGGUUCUCUGCCCCUGUGUCUGGUGUUGAGGUGCCCCAUCCCAGCCACUCACUUCAUCUCUUCCUGGUUCUCUGCCCCUGUGUCUGGUGUUGAGGUGCCCCAUCCCAGCCACUCACUUCAUGUGUGCCUGGUUCUCUGCCCCUGUGUCUGGUGUUGAGGUGCCCCAUCCCAGCCACUCACUUCAUCUGUGCCUGGUUCUCUGCCCCUGUGUCUGGUGUUGAGGUGCCCCAUCCCAGCCACUCACUUCAUCUGUGCCUGGUUCUCUGCCCCUGUGUCUGGUGCUGAGGUGCCCCAUCCCAGCCACUCACUUCAUCUGUGCCUGGUUCUCUGCCCCUGUGUCUGGUGCUGAGGUGCCCCAUCCCAGCCACUCACUUCAUCUGUGCCUGGUUCUCUGCCCCUGUGUCUGGUGCUGAGGUGCCCCAUCCCAGCCACUCACUUCAUCUGUGCCUGGUUCUCUGCCCCUGUGUCUGGUGUUGAGGUGCCCCAUCCCAGCCACUCACUUCAUCUGUGCCUGGUUCUCUGCCCCUGUGUCUGGUGCUGAGGUGCCCCAUCCCAGCCACU